UCGCGGGAGGCGUGGAUGCUGCUGCUGCUGCUGCGUGGAUUUCCCGGAUGGAGCUGCGGCGCCAUCUUCACGCCUCUGCUCACCGGUGGGUCUUCGGCUCAGCGGAGCGACAGAGCUGUUGCUGAUCCACCGCCAGGACUCUCCGAGCAGCCCGAUUAUCGUCCCCUGUUUCCCCACCGGGACGCUGAACGCAGCCCUCCCCGCUACCGGAGCACCAUGGCGGACAGAGAGAACCUGGUGUACCAAGCAAAACUGGCCGAGCAAGCGGAGAGAUACGAUGAAAUGGUGGAGUCGAUGAAGAAGGUGGCCAGCAUGGACGUGGAGCUGACGGUGGAGGAGAGGAACCUUCUCUCCGUCGCCUAUAAGAACGUGAUCGGCGCGCGGCGAGCGUCCUGGAGGAUCAUCAGCAGCCUGGAGCAGAAGGAGGAGAACAAGGGCGGCGAGGACAAGCUGAAGAUGAUCCGGGAAUAUCGGAAAACGGUUGAGAAAGAGCUGAAAUCAAUCUGCAACGACAUCCUGGAUGUUCUGGACAAACACCUCAUCUUAGCAGCAACCACCGGAGAAUCCAAGGUUUUCUACUACAAAAUGAAGGGAGACUACCACCGGUACCUGGCGGAGUUCGCCACGGGCAACGACAGGAAGGAGGCGGCGGAGAACAGCCUGGUGGCGUACAAGGCGGCCAGCGACAUCGCCAUGAUCGAACUUCCUCCAACGCACCCCAUCCGCCUCGGCCUGGCACUCAACUUCUCCGUUUUCUACUAUGAAAUCCUGAAUUCGCCGGACCGGGCCUGCAGGUUGGCGAAGGAGGCGUUCGAUAACGCCAUCGCGGAGCUGGACACACUGAGCGAGGAAAGCUACAAAGACUCCACACUUAUCAUGCAGUUGCUACGGGACAACUUGACGCUAUGGACCUCAGACGUUCAGGGAGACGGUUGAUUUGUCGUCGUCAUGGUAACUCCCCUAAGCUACCACUGUUUCUGUCUCACAAUGCGUUUUCCCUCCUACUGACCUCACCAGCACUCUAACAGCGCCCCUCCCAGCAUGGUGCCACGUUGCCAGCAGCAGGUGAAGAACAGAACAAAGAAGCGCCGCAAGACGCGGAGGAAGAAGCCCAGCGAGACUGAACAACUCAAGACAAACCCUCCUCUUCCUCUUCUCUAUUUUUUCUUUCUCGUCCCAGAACCAGCUCCGGUUCCAGCCGGGUUCAGCCCACCA